CUCACCAAGUCUAGAGCCGCCACUGUACAGAGAUAUUAAUACCAUACCAGAGGUGGCUCUGUAAUUAGGCGACUUAGGCGGCUGAGCCUAAACCACCUUGGUGCAAUUUGAUCUGCCGGGUCCUCGGUCUAUGACCGAGGGCCCGAUGCAGGGAGGGGGCUUGGCGGCUUGCCCUUUAUGCUGCCGGGUGCGGAGUCCCUCCAUUCAGUGUGCCCAUAUUGGAAGAGCCCCUACGCUGUCGAUCUGCAGCACCGCCGGGUGCAGAGCUGCAGACCAUGUUUUAGAGAUCUUGUGAUCUCCCAGAUCGCUGCCGCGAGUUACCAUGGC